UUAAGCCACGCCCCCUUUCAUAGCUGGUGACCCCUUUAAGGUAGAGUCUUGUGUGAGGUAUCAUUGAACUCAGCAGGGAGUUCCCUUUUCAUUGGUGACGAUUUGCGGUGCCUGAGUGCCACGCAAAUGCACGGUCGCAAAGAGCGGCGUCUGCCAGUAACCCUGACGCGCGCAGAGGAGCGAGGGCCCGUCCAACGCAGCUUGCAGCUUUGAUUGUCUUUGCUUUUGUUUUCAGUUUA